UACGUAGGGCGCAAGCGUUGUCCGGAAUUAUUGGGCGUAAAGAGCUCGUAGGCGGUCUGUCGCGUCCGUUGUGAAAACUCGAGGCUCAACCUCGGGCUUGCAGUGGAUACGGGCAGACUAGAGUGCGGUAGGGGAGACUGGAAUUCCUGGUGUAGCGGCGGAAUGCGCAGAUAUCAGGAGGAACACCGAUGGCGAAGGCAGGUCUCUGGGCCGCAACUGACGCUGAGGAGCGAAAGCAUGGGGAGCGAACAGG
rnacentral:rRNA from 1 species